GGUUAAUAUAUUAGUGAAUGGUUGAAUUGUGAUUUAGGCCCAAUUUGUGUAAGGUACCAGAUGUGUGUUUUUUGUUCGAUUCUAUCCGUGCUUGUAUUUUUGCGAGUCGCUAGGACCGAAGAACUCUGUUAUUGUUUGGAGGAUUUACGGUGACCAUUAUGGAUGGUCGAGGGUGUGUUCUGUUUCAAGAAAUGCUUGUUUACCGUAUUACUGCUUGGUUGUGCGAUUGUGCUGAGUAAUUUUGGAUGAGGUUUAUGUUGUCUCUGACACGCUGACGAAAGGAGAAGUGAUUUUGUUUUCCUCUCCAUGAGUUGGACCGUAGGUAGUAGGGACUACGGAAACGACCAUAGGCUAGCAGCUCUACAACCUUCGAUAGUAACGUGGUGACCGACACCUCUAGGCAGAAGUUUCGCAAAGGUGACCGCACUCGACGGAUGUGGGCGCCAAAGGAAGAGGAGAUUCUUGCAGCUUCCCUACUAGAGCUCACAGCUAGUGGGUGAAAAUCCAACAACGGUUUCUAUGGUGUUAUCUUAGCAAUAUUGAAGACAAUCUCCAUGCCAAAUUUCCCAAAACUGACUUGAAAGGUACUCCCCACAUAACCUCUAAGAUCUCGACGUGGAAGAAAAGCUAUGGGAUUCUACGAUCCAUUUCAAGAAAAGUGGAAUUGGUUUGAAUACGGACGGGGAUUACAAAAUCGACUUUAGCGACGACCAGUGGGACCAAAUUGUAGCGGCUGAUAAGGACGCAAAGUUUGUGAGGACAAAGUCAUGGUCGCUUUGGGAGACGUGGCAGUUGAUUUUCAGGAAAGAUAGAGCCUCCGGUGGUGCUGCCCAGGAGGUAGAUGACUUUGCCACUCGUCUACGUGCUCAACUCGGCGGGGGAAGUCAAUGCAACUAGAAUGACUAUCAUUCGUCGUUUGACAAUUUCCCCACUGAUCCAUUGACAGAAGCAACUGAUAACACAGAACUCAAUGGAAUUAGCUCCAGAAAUGGUGGCAAACAAUCCUCGAUCAACAAAACUAGCCCAGGCAGCCAUACUAAGGCCUCCAGUGAUGCAGCCUUUAUGGAAUUCCUCCCCAAUCUUCAUGCCGAAAUCAACACGGGUUUGGAUAUGAUCUCUGCCAGAAUUGGUUACGAGUUUGAUAUGGGAAAGCAAGGCGGGAAGUUUAUGACAAGCUUGGGACACUAGCCGGCCUAACUCUUCACCAACGCUAUGAGCUUUACAACAUACUAGGAGAUAAACCUCAGCAGCGUCUUGAGGUCUUUAUUGGGCUAUCGGCGGCAGCUAGGCUCGGAUAUGUUCUCUUCCUGGUUCAGGAGAAUCAUAAGAAAGAUUGACGAUCCGUUGUUGUUAGGCUAUAAGUUGGUAUGUGUUGUUUGAAUUUGGGUAACGGUUUAUUAUGGGUUAAAUAUUAAGCAGGUUUCUGUUGUAAGUAGUAAUGUUGUGUUAGGUGUGGGUGUACAAUCUUUACCCCAGCAGACUUGUUUCAUGGGUUUGGCUGUUCUUCA